UACGGGGGGGGCAAGCGUUGUUCGGAAUUACUGGGCGUAAAGGGCGCGUAGGCGGCCAGACAAAGUCGAGCGUUAAAUUCCAGGGCUUAACCCUGGGCUGUUGCUCGAUACUAGUCGGCUAGAGUGUGGAAGAGGGUGCUGGAAUUCCCGGUGUAGCGGUGAAAUGCGUAGAUAUCGAGAGGAACACCAGAGGUGAAGACGGGUUGCUGGGCCGACACUGACGCUGACAGCGCGAAAGCCAGGGGAGCAAACGGG
rnacentral:rRNA from 1 species